rnacentral:rRNA from 1 species
GCAAGUCGAACGAGAACUUAGAGCUUGCUCUAAGGGACAGUGGCAGACGGGUGAGUAACGCGUGGCAACCUACCAUUUUCUACGGAACAACAGUUGGAAACGACUGCUAAUACCGUAUACGCCCUCCGGGGGAAAGAUUUAUCGGUGAAUGAUGGGGCCGCGUUAGAUUAGCUUGUUGGUGAGGUAAUGGCUCACCAAGGCGACGAUCUAUAGCUGGUCUGAGAGGAUGAUC